AUGGCGCCGGACUGUCCUUCUGCUGAGGGCUCGGAAGAUAUGUCCGUCACCAACUCGGAAGUGGAGAGCGCCAUGAAUCAUUGGCGCCGGAGGGCCAUUUUACGAAACCCCCGCUUCUCAAAAGAGGCUUUCGGCGCCUUCAGCUCGGCUGAUGCAUACAUCCGGGCUUCUCGAGAUGGGCUUAACAGAGCCUCAAAGCAGCAUUUAAAAGAUGUGCAGGUUCUUACGGAGAAGAACGACCUGCUAGCCCAAGAGCCGGAAAAGCGUCGGACACAGCUAACUGCUGCUACCACCGAACUGGAAAAGUUCAAGAAAGUGUCCUCUGGUAAUAUUUCCCUCCAUCAAGAAAAAAUAAUUAUAUGCCAGCUGUCGUGGUUUUGUCACGGCAGAUGUCCUCGUGAAAGGACUUAG
rnacentral:rRNA from 1 species